rnacentral:rRNA from 1 species
UACGUAGGGUGCAAGCGUUAUCCGGAAUUAUUGGGCGUAAAGAGCGUGUAGGCGGCCAGGUAGGUCAGCUGUGAAAACUCGAGGCUCAACCUCGAGACGCCGGUUGAAACCAUCUGGCUAGAGUCCGGAAGAGGAGAGUGGAAUUCCUGGUGUAGCGGUGAAAUGCGCAGAUAUCAGGAAGAACACCCGUGGCUAAGGCGGCUCUCUAGUACGGUACUGACGCUGAGACGCGAAAGCGUGGGGAGCGAACAGG